rnacentral:rRNA from 1 species
GAUGAACGCUAGCGGGAGGCUUAACACAUGCAAGUCGAGGGGCAGCACGAGGUAGCAAUACUUUGGUGGCGACCGGCGCACGGGUGAGUAACGCGUAUGCAACCUACCCUGUACAGGGGGAUAACCCGGAGAAAUUCGGACUAAUACCCCAUAAAGAUAUUUUGAGGCAUCUUAAGAUAUUUAAAGUUCCGGCGGUACGGGAUGGGCAUGCGUAACAUUAGCUAGUUGGUAAGGUAACGGCUUACCAAGGCAACGAUGUUUAGGGGUCCUGAGAGGGUGAUCCCCCAAACUGGUACUGGGACACGGACCAGACUCCUACGGGAGGCAGCAGUGAGGAAUAUUGGUCAAUGGGCGCAAGCCUGAACCAGCCAUCCCGCGUGAAGGAAGAAUGCGCUAUGCGUUGUAAACUUCUUUUCUAGGGGAAUAAAAUUUUGUACGAGUACGGAAUUGAAGGUACCCUGGGAAUAAGCAUCGGCUAACUCCGUGCCAGCCGCCGCCGUAAUAC